CUCUGCAGGGCAGUUUCGUCAUUUCAAUUUUCGUUUCGUUUUCCUGAUAAAAAGCUCCUUUUUAAGACGAGGGAUAACCGAGGUAGAUAAAUAUAAAAACACAAACGCACAGAGAACAAUAUUUGCGGUUCUGCCUGCAAAUUUUUCUUACCCCCAAUCUAUAUUGCUCAGGUGGUGUUCCUGUUCCCCCCAGCACCCCUGAGAUUCAUUUGUUUAAAGCUAAAAAAGAAAAAAAAAAGUUCUAAAUCUAAAUUCCAUUUCCAUUUCCGUUUCCGUUUUACCUUCGUUUCGUUUUCGUUUUCGGUUUUGAUCUUCUAAUGGCGUCUGAGGGCUUCACCGACAAGAACACUGUGUUCAGGAAACUCAAGGCCAAGUCUGAAAAUAAGAUGUGUUUCGAAUGCAAUGCGAAGAACCCUACCUGGGCGUCUGUCACGUAUGGGAUCUUCAUCUGCAUCGAUUGCUCCGCCGUUCAUCGCAGUCUCGGGGUGCACAUCAGCUUCGUGAGGUCUACGAAUUUAGACUCAUGGAGUCCUGAGCAACUAAAAAUGAUGAGUUUUGGAGGAAACAAUCGUGCACAGGUUUUCUUUAAGCAACAUGGUUGGACUGAGGGUGGUAAAAUAGAGGCAAAGUAUACAUCAAGAGCUGCUGAAUUGUAUAGGCAAAUUCUUUCAAAGGAAGUAGCUAAAAGUAUGGCCGAGGAUGGUGGAAGCUUGCCUUCAUCACCUGUUGCUUCACAGUCUUCCCAUGGGGCUAAUGGACUGCCUGAAGUGAGGACACAUGAAGUACCAAAAGAAAACAGUCUGGAAAAGCCAGAAAAUCCUGAGAGCACUUCACCUAGAGCUUUGCAUACAAUAGUCUCAAGCACUGUCAAGAAACCUAUUGGUGCUAAAAAAACUGGGAAGAGUGGUGGGCUUGGUGCUCGUAAGCUCACUAAAAAGCCAAGUGAGUCACUCUAUGAGCAGAAGCCUGAAGAACCACCUGCUCCAGUUUCAUCCUCAACGAGCAAUUUGUCUGCUGGGCCAUCUCUGACAUCUCGGUUUGAGUAUGUAGAAAAUGUCCAAUCAUCUGAGUUGAAUUCUGGAGGUUCACAUGUAAUUAGUCAUGUGACUCCACCAAAGUCAUCAAGCUUCUUUGCGGACUUCGGAAUGGAUGGUGGCUUUUCAAAGAAAUCUGGGCCAAGCUCCUCAAAAGUGCAAAUUCAGGAAUCUGAUGAAGCAAGAAAGAAGUUCUCGAAUGCUAAAUCUAUUUCUUCAUCCCAAUUUUUUGGAGAUCAGAGCAAGGCUGCAGAUGCGGAUGCUCAAGUUACUUUGUCAAAGUUUUCGGUAUGUGUAUCUUCUUGCUGGAACAUAUAGUGUGAGAAUGCUUUUAUGUAGAUUUUUUAUAUUCAUCCCUUGUAAUGUGGCUCUACUAUGCAGCUUAGAUACCUAAUAUAACAUGGGUACAACUUGAUGCAGAUAUGGGAUAUGAUAAAUUCUUGCAAAUUGAAUAUUUGUGAAGAGGUUUAAGCAUCAUAAUAUAUUUGUUUAUCAGUAAUACAUGACUGUAUUAGUGGAUGGUAAUCACAAUUUACAAAGAAACACUCGUGAUAAAAAAAAAUAGUUGCAUAUCUAUUUUGUCCAUAUUAGAAGAUAUUCCCGCAUAUGAACAUGUCACAAGAAUUGCAUAUUUUUCGAACCCGUGUUAGAAUGUCACAAAAAGCAUCAUUAGUCCUAUUCAAAAUUGGUCUUGGCUCUGUAUAAUUGUCUAUUAUUUGCUAUAAUUUUAAGGAUAUAGAGGAAAAGCAGUGUGUAGUUUUACUCCUGUUUAAAGUAUCUGAUCCUUAUUCCAAGAGUAUUGGUCAAUAAUAUUCUAAAAAGAUAGAAGGGAAAUGGUGGAUAUUCCUUGGAUAUGUAUCUUAAGAGUAUCAUACACACAUCAGUGUCUGAAAAAUCUGAUAUUUGUCCAUUUUUGGAGUAUCUGGGCUUCAUUGAGAAUAAAUUAGAUGGUUUCUAUCAUAUCACAUAUUCUUUUGGUUGGCAGAACUUGUAUUAAAGCAUAAACAUCCAAAGAGUUGUAAUAAUAGCAUGUAGCAACCCAUUCUGUAGCACAAGGCCUUAUUUUCUGCUGCUUUUUUGGUAUGCUUUUAUAAAUUGUUAGGCUAAUUUUCUUUGUUAUUGGUAGAAUAGUAAUGCAUCAAUUACUACUCUUGAAAUUUACCCAAUCUCAUGUUUGAACUUGCUUUUCCGCUUGAGAAUGAAUUUUCUUAGUCUUUUCAACAUAGGUCAGUGUUGGUUGAUUGGAAUGAGUGAGGUAAAGGAAAUUCAAAUUUUCAAAAAGAUUUAGAGAGUAAAAGGAAAGGUGAAUCUAUGUAAAAUUUUUGCAUUUUUGGUUGUUCUAGGCAACCAGAUAAAAAAAGAGACAUGACAUACUAUCUUUCUCUUGUUGACUGUUUAACUGGAACACGCCAAGCUUGUUGUAUGUGGUGGAAUGGCUGAAAGCACAGGAUGUUAACUGUUUUGCACUUUGGGUGGUUCAUUUUGUGAUUUAACUGUAACUAGUCUGAGUGGAGGAUAAUGUCAAUCAUGUGGUAGCAAGAAAAGGGUUCAAAUGCCAUCUCCAGUGCUGAUCUUUUUGGUGACUCAAGAGAUAACUCCAUUGAUCUAACUGCUAGUGACCUCAUCAAUCGUUUAUCUUUCCAGGCACAACAGGAUCUCUCUUCACUUAAGAACAUUGCAGGAGAGACUGGGAAGAAGCUCAGCUCGUUGGCCUCAACAUUGAUGACAGAUCUUCAGGACCGAAUCCUCUAAAACUGUGGUCUGUAUUUAAGAGAAUCUGUGGAGUUCGUCACAAAUACCAGCCAAUUAUGUUUCAAAUGUAAUAGGAGAGUUUUCAAUAUACAAUUCUUUGAGAAAAAAAAUAAGAUACUAUCAUUUUCAGGCUUGUCAUAUAGACUGGUGUCUUUAUUUUGGAUCACAGGUACUGUUUAGAUGUUUGCUAAUAUGUUCUAAAUGUCUUUUUGGAAGUUGAUGCCAGUUUGUCGCGAGUUACUGUCUUACUGUCAUCUUCUAUCAUCCUUUAGUGAAAAGGCUUUCUUCGUUGCAUUUAUAAACCAGUAUCAAAUCUUUAGUUUAUAGUGGUUCAAUGCAUCGUUUUGAUGGAACACGAAUUUAAAUGUAAUAAUAAUUCUGAGAAAAAUUUAUGUAAAUUUAUGACUU